rnacentral:rRNA from 1 species
ACGAACGCUGGCGGCGUGCCUAAUACAUGCAAGUCGAGCGGAAUGAUGAAGAAGCUUGCUUCUUCUGAUUUUAGCGGCGGACGGGUGAGUAACACGUGGGCAACCUACCUUGUAGAUUGGGAUAACUCCGGGAAACCGGGGCUAAUACCGAGUAAUCCAUUUUGCUUCAUGGCGAGAUGUUGAAAGACGGUUUCGGCUGUCACUACAAGAUGGGCCCGCGGCGCAUUAGCUAGUUGGUAGGGUAAUGGCCUACCAAGGCGACGAUGCGUAGCCGACCUGAGAGGGUGAUCGGCCACACUGGGACUGAGACACGGCCCAGACUCCUACGGGAGGCAGCAGUAGGGAAUCUUCCACAAUGGACGAAAGUCUGAUGGAGCAACGCCGCGUGAGUGAAGAAGGUUUUCGGAUCGUAAAACUCUGUUGUAAGGGAAGAACACGUACGAGAGUAACUGCUCGUACCUUGACGGUACCUUAUUAGAAAGCCACGGCUAACUACGUG